CCUACGGGGGGCAGCAGUGGGGAAUAUUGCACAAUGGGGGAAACCCUGAUGCAGCGACGCCGCGUGAGUGAAGAAGUAUUUCGGUACGUAAAGCUCUAUCAGCAGGGAAGAAAAUGACGGUACCUGACUAAGAAGCCCCGGCUAACUACGUGCCAGCAGCCGCGGUAAUACGUAGGGGGCAAGCGUUAUCCGGAUUUACUGGGUGUAAAGGGAGCGUAGACGGCAGCGCAAGUCUGGAGUGAAAUCCCAUGGCUUAACCAUGGAACUGCUUUGGAAACUGUGCAGCUAGAGUGCAGGAGAGGUAAGCGGAAUUCGUAGUGUAGCGGUGAAAUGCGUAGAUAUUAGGAGGAACACCAGUGGCGAAGGCAGCUUACUGGACUGUAACUGACGUUGAGGCUCGAAAGCGUGGGGAGCAAACAGGAUUAGAUACCCGAGUAGUC
rnacentral:rRNA from 1 species